GCUAUUUGGGUUCAAGCAAUAUUUUCAUUUCCUGACCCAACUUCCCUGCACAUAAAAAAUGAAACCCAACAAUCCAGCGGCAUCAGGCACCAGCACAGAGUGAGCAAAAGAGGCAGGCAGCGAGGAGCAAAAGCAGGACCCUGCGGCGCCAGGAGGCCGCAGCAAGUCAGGGGAAGUGGCUCGGUGACAAUUGUGAGCGCCCAGAAAGUUGUCCUGGCCGCAGCCCUUUGCUCCCUCCCGAAGCUGCGGUGGCCGAGGCUGCCUCCUGCUCGGCAGCAUCUCCCUUUGCUAAUGGGAUCUCCAGCCUGUGCUGUUCCCCUUUUUCUCCCCUCUUCUCCCUCUUUCUUCCCUAUUUUUUUUUUUUAACUUGGCUACGGAACAUUAGGUUUGACGAAGGGAAAGCGAUUUAACAUCUUUUAACUGAGGGAGGUUGAUUUUCAUUUGCGACCAAAUGGCUCCUUUUUACCUUUUUAGCUCCUGGAAGAGUAAAAAGUGAGAGGUCAGCCCUGCGUCACCAUGGCAACCCAGGCAGCUCAGGCCUGGAGCAGAUGAAGGGAGGUGAUAAUGGCAGGGAAGUUUCUCCCCCUUCCUUGGCAUUUUCUCCUCAUUCAGGGAAUGUUCCUGGAUGCAUGAAAACAAUUAUGUCUUUUUAGAAAUAUAAGUUUUAAAAUAUGGCUGUUAAUUACGGCCCAGGGCUCCGACCAUUCACAGAUCUUUCGGGGGUUUUGUUUGCAGUUGUGACCAUCUUUAUCCUCAUCAGUGACCACAGGGGCUUGAAUCACACCCGCGAGAUCGUGCAUGCCCCCACCCUGGCCAAAUCUGUCCUUCAAUCCAAGAGCCUACCUGCUGGCGUCCUGAAAGCCUGAAAUAUUAAUGAAGAGACAAUCAACCUCAGCACAUGAGACCUUAUUGGAGCCUCUCUGCAAAGAAAGUCUUGAUGCCAUUCCAGUUCAGGGACCUCAAAGAAUAAAGAGGAAAAGAGAACUUGAAAUGACAGACUUGCUAGAAAGCCAGAUUCAACCCUGCAGGAGUUGCCUGGGCCAGGGAAGGAAGGAAUGUCCACGAUCUCUGAGCUCAUGGACUCACACGUCCACUUCAUUCAGCCCAAUGUGGUCCUUGGUGCAUGGAGGCCAUGGUGACUAUGGCUUCACACCUGAGGGUGCCAGACGCCAUCAUGGUGACCCCAGAUCCUUCAAGCUUCCUAGUCCUGUGCGAGGAGGAGGAGGAGGAGGAGGAGGAGGAGCCGAGGCCGUCUCAGGCUUCCAGCAGGUGCGGAGGAGGCCAUCUCACACUUCGCAUCCUGAGCCCGCGUUUCCCUUCCAUUUAUUUCCGUGGCGCUGGCUGUGUGUGCAGCGAGCCGUGCUGCGGCAGAGAUACCCCAGAGAAAGAGGAAACCCGUGGAGCUAUUUUUCACCAUUACAUACUUCACUUCCUAAUAAAUGAGAUCCAGAGCAUGCAAACAGCCAGUCUUGUAGAUCAUCAUCUUAGGGAAAAUCACAGACCUAACGCAGCACAAAGUAAAAAAUAAAUGAACUCCAAGGAGAGUCCUUCUGAUGAAAUUUGAGACCAUAACUCCCUUCCCAUAGCUUUCUAUCCCUCUCCAGAAGUUUUUGUGCCUCAGAGAAGUAUAUUGGCUCUAAGGGUGGUUUAAAAAAAAUAUCAAUAAAAAAAGUGCUAGAUCUUUCUCUGUCUUCAUGCCAGCUUAUUUUCACCCCUAGAAAGGUUUGUAUGGAAGAGUAGAGAAGAACUCAUUGAGACCAAGCUGUGCGUUACCGGAUUCAAUCCCUGGAGAUCCCUCAUUAGUAAGUGGCAUGAAAUAUAAGGGUUUUAUCAGCUACCUGUGCUGAACAGAACAUCAGACCGUGCAUUUCAGGACUGCCACAGCACUCAGGCAAGAAAGAGGUCUGCACUGGGGAGCUGGGGUGCCCUAGUGCCUUGGCUUCCGAUGGUCUCUUCCAGUCGCUGUGCUUUUCUUUCGUCCUCUGGCAGAAAAGCUCCACAUUUGGAUGCAACCCGGAGUGUUGAGGUCACCAGCACCGUUUGCUGUGUCAACUAAGGGAAUCAGUGGACAGUAAUACAAUCUCUCCACGUCCACCGGGGAAUAUAAUAUUUCACACAGAAAAUAACAAAACACUCCCAGGGCCCCGGGCCAAUAUCCUGAAGUUGUUUGAGGUGAAAGAAAAUAACUGUCAUUUGGACAAAAGAACUUCGACUCUUUAGUAAAUUUGUUGCUGCCUUUUGUCUUACACCAUCUGAGUAUUUAUUCAGAUCCAUUCCAGGUGAGGAGGCGGCACUGCUCUCCCACCCAAACGUGUGAGAUUUCUUUUAUCCACUUUUCUGUUGGACCUAACGUCAUGUGAGAUGAUAAAUUAGUCUUGCCAAAGGCUUGCAAUUUUCAAGUGUAUUUUAAAACUUUACCUGGUGGAUCUCUAAGCCUCUAGAAAGCUCACAGUGCCUUUCCCCCCCACAAGCAGGGAUGACAGGGAUAGCAGGAGCAGCAAAGGUUAUCUCUGAUCACCUUCACCAAGCCACCCUAUCUCUCUCAGGCCAUUUUGAUAGUCAUUGUGAAGCUGAAAAGUACAGAAGGAAAAUUUUUAAAGCUAUUAUUUAAGAAACUGGGUUCAAGUCUUUUUGAGUUCAGAGAAGUCAUCUUACUGUUCCGAGUUCCACUCUUACAUAUGAAAUGGGAAAAUAAUAUUUUCUCUAUGUAGGUCUUGGGUUUGUCAGGACAAAGACAUGGGCAGAAACUGUUUUGUUGCUUCUGAGUGUAGAGAGAGACAUAACAUGCCCCAGUGUUCCCUUUGGUUUGGUGGAGUCACAUGACUUCCAGCCAAUGGAAUGUAAGUGGAAGAAUGUGACCGAUAAAAAUCUAAAUGAUCCAAUGACACUCUACAAAAAAGACACCUGCACUCGAAUGUUUAUAGCAGCACAAUUCAUAAUUGCAAGGCUGUGGAAACAGCCCAAGUGCCUAUCAAUCCAAGAAUGGAUUAAUAAAAUGUGGUAUAUGUAUACCAUGGAGUACUAUUCAGCUCUAAGAAACAAUGGUGAUAUAGCACAUCUUAUAUUUUCCUGGUUAGAUCUGGAACCCAUACUACUAAGUGAAGUAUCCCAAGAAUGGAAAAACAAGCACAAGAUAUAUUCUCCAGCAAACUGGUAUUAACUGAGUAGCACCUAAGUGGACACAUA
rnacentral:lncRNA from 1 species